UACCAGCACCCCGAGUGGUCGGGACGUUUAUUGGGCCUAAAGCAUCCGUAGCCGGUUCUACAAGUCUUCCGUUAAAUCCACCUGCUCAACAGAUGGCUGCGGAGAUACUAUGGAGCUAGGAGGCGGGAGAGGCAAGCGGUACUCGAUGGGUAGGGGUAAAAUCCGUUGAUCCAUUGAAGACCACCAGUGGCGAAGGCGGCUGCCAGAACGCGCUCGACGGUGA
rnacentral:rRNA from 1 species